AUUGAACGCUGGCGGCAUGCCUUACACAUGCAAGUCGAACGGUAACGCGGGGCAACCUGGCGACGAGUGGCGAACGGGUGAGUAAUGUAACGGAACGUGCCCAGUUGGGGGGGAUAACUGCCCGAAAGAGAAGCUACUACCGCACACGACCUGAGGGCGAAAGAGGGGGGACGCCAGACCUCGCGGAAUUGGAACGGCCGAUAGUGGAUUAGGUAGUUGGUGGGGUAAAGGCUCACCAAGCCAACGAUGUGUAGCCGGUCUGAGAGGGCGACCAGCCACACUGGGACUGAGACACGGCCCAGACUCCUACGGGAGGCAGCAGUGGGGAAUUUUGGACAAUGGACGCAAGUCUGAUCCAGCCAUGCCGCGUGAGGGAAGAAGGCCUUCGGGUUGUAAACCGCUUUUGUCAGGGAAGAAACGCUCUGGGUUAAUACCUCGAGGUAAUGACGGUACCUGAAGAAUAAGCACCGGCUAACUACGUGCCAGCCGCCGCCGUAACAC
rnacentral:rRNA from 1 species